GGAGAGGUCAAUCCUUCAAG
rnacentral:snRNA from 1 species